AUUGAACGCUGGCGGCAUGCUUUACACAUGCAAGUCGAACGGCAGCGAGAGAGAAGCUUGCUGCUCUUGUCGGCGAGUGGCGAACGGGUGAGUAAUACAUCGGAACGUACCCUGUAGUGGGGGAUAACUACUCGAAAGAGUAGCUAAUACCGCAUACAACCUGAGGGUAAAAGUGGGGGACCGCAAGGCCUCACGCUAUAGGAGCGGCCGAUGGAAGAUUAGCUAGUUGGUAGGGUAAAGGCCUACCAAGGCGACGAUCUUUAGGGGGUCUGAGAGGACGAUCCGCCACACUGGUACUGAGACACGGCCCAGACUCCUACGGGAGGCAGCAGUGGGGAAUUUUGGACAAUGGGCGAAAGCCUGAUCCAGCAAUGCCGCGUGAGUGAAGAAGGCCUUCGGGUUGUAAAGCUCUUUUGUUUGGGAAGAAAUCCUAACGGAUAAUACCUGUUGGGGAUGACGGUACCAAAAGAAUAAGCACCGGCUAACUACGUGCCAGCCGCCGCCGUAAAAC
rnacentral:rRNA from 1 species